AACAAAUUAGAACGUUGAUCUUUGAGCAAUUCAGGGGCAUAAAUCUUCCCCUCCCUCCUCUCCUUGCUCUGAAGGGAGAGAAACUAAACGUUUUCGUAACUCUCUCCGAUCGUGAUUUCUCUUCAAUCAGCUCAUUCAUAUACACCGGCAGAGACCGAUUAUAUUCGAAAUGAAGAUGAAGUGGUGGGGCCAAAUGAUAGUUCCAAUGCAAAAAGUUUGGACCAACUUCUCUUACCGUCUCGGUUAUCGCAAAAAUGGGCUAGUAAAGCUUCACCAAGAUAUUAGGACAUGUGAGUACGAAGAUGUCCACAUCUUGUGGAAUAUGCUGAAGAGAAAUGAGACAGAUCUCACUAGAAGGAAAAAGGAGCCCUUUUGGAACAUCCUUCGAUGGGCAAAGCAUGCUUCAUUUCCUUGCCGUGGUAUGUGAACAUACCCAUAUGCAGUGAGUUUUUUAUGCUUUUGUUCUCUGAAUGUUGUAUGUUGAAGACUUAAAAAGUAAUCAGCAUAUUAUCUUGUAAGGGUAAUCACAUGUUUUUGAAGCAUAUCAUAUGCUGUUUAUAAUGUAAACCUGCAUAUAGAUUAAUUUUUCUCCCUUUUGUUAUUUAAUGUCAAAUGUAUUAUGGAGCUGGCGCUUAGUAUUUGCCUCUGUUACUGAAUCCUUGACACGUUGAAUAUAACCUCCUAUUUUGGGAGUAAAUAAGACGGUGUGGAUAACUUUUGAUACUUGUAAAUAGAUCGAAUGUUUUUUA